GUCCCUGUAGCGCAAUGGAUAGCGCAUUGGACUUGUAAUGCAAAGGUCGUGGGUUCGAAUCCCAUCUGGGGUG
rnacentral:tRNA from 1 species